rnacentral:lncRNA from 1 species
AUGAGGAAAAGUUCAGGUUUUGAAUAUUUUGUUCAUUUCUGAAAAGUCGGUAACAAUUUAAAUAAUUUACAAGGUUUUUUUGCAGGAAAAUCUUUGCUUAUAAAAUAGGGAGAAGUUCUUCCAUUCUACCUCUUUUUGCUUACUUACCUUCCUUCCCACUUUCUGUAAAGACAAUGAGUUACUAAGAAAUGUGACAUUAUUAUUCAGCAGGCAGGAGCAUUUAGAGGUAAAUUUGCCCCAGAGUAUCAUCUGCAACCAGCCAAGCAGAAGCUGCGACUAAUGUGUCACAGCAAUGAAAGUCUGUGGUUUCUGUUUAGGAGCACAAGCACUGAACAUCAACCUUAUCUUUGGAAAAGGAGAGCAAAUUUGUACAACUUUUCAUCACGCCUUUUAAUCCCUAUGUAAUUAAACGAAGAAACCACAGGUCUCAUAUAAAGGGACCCCAGCACAGCCAACACAGCAUGGAUCACACCAUGCAGUCACCUGAGCCCUGGAGGAAGGUGAUGGCACCAAGGCUGUGGAUUUCCCUCAUAGCCAGCUCCACAGGAUGCAAAGCCCACGAGAGUUGGUCUCUCUCAAGGCUUAUCAUGGGAAGAUGGCCUCAUCUCAAACCUUCCUGGCUGAUUUCCAGCACUGUACAAUGGAUUAGUCAUCAAAAACCAUGAGGCUAUUUGUUGGAAGGCAGCUAUUAUGAGCUGACUAAUCAUAUACAAAAGAUUAGACCACUUUCCAAAGAUCUAAUUGACCAGAAGAAUCUGUGGUUUCCCCUAUUCUCUUGUUUUUCAUAUCAGCAGUACUGGCAUCCACUAAAAUUUUCUAGCAAACAAAUAUUUUUGAGGCAUUUCAGUUGGAGUAGAAAGCCAGCAUGGAAGAAAGCAGACCAUCAGCUGUUCCACUGAGAAUCCAGCAAAAAGGAACAGUUGAUAUCCUAUUAAUAUAAAUGAGCUCAUUAGUAGCGUUGACUUCAGUCUGAGUUCAGCAGUUCAGAGCCUCUAUUCCAGAACAUAUAGAAUUUAUAUGACAAAAAAUAAAGAGAAAAUGAAGGAAGGAUAUUGCA